CCUACGGGUGGCAGCAGUGGGGAAUAUUGGACAAUGGGCGCAAGCCUGAUCCAGCCAUGCCGCGUGUGUGAAGAAGGCCUUCGGGUUGUAAAGCACUUUUGUCCGGAAAGAAAUCUCUCAGCUUAAUACGUUGGGGGGAUGACGGUACCGGAAGAAUAAGCACCGGCUAACUUCGUGCCAGCAGCCGCGGUAAUACGAAGGGUGCAAGCGUUACUCGGAAUUACUGGGCGUAAAGCGUGCGUAGGCGGUUCGUUAAGUCUGACGUGAAAUCCCCGGGCUCAACCUGGGACGUGCGUUGGAAACUGGCGAUCUAGAGUACGGUAGAGGGUGGUGGAAUUCCCGGUGUAGCAGUGAAAUGCGUAGAGAUCGGGAGGAACACUCGUGGCGAAGGCGGCCACCUGGACCAGUACUGACGCUGAGGCACGAAAGCGUGGGGAGCAAACAGGAUUAGAUACCCUUGUAGUC
rnacentral:rRNA from 1 species